rnacentral:lncRNA from 1 species
AUUAAUCAAGCAGAUUACAAGUUAUAUAGUAAGGGAGAGAGACACUAGGUUAAACAUUAGGGAAAGCAUAAGCAUGUGGAGUCAAAGGGGAAGAGGAGCGUCCAUUUGAAAGGAUCCAAUGGGAGAGCUUACACGCUUUGGUAUCUUCGCAUCUAAGACCAAGAUGCUGUUUGCUUUACAGCCUGGAACAGCUAGAGACGCGCUGGUCUUCUUCCCUUAACGGACUGAUCAGGAUAAGGCUGUAACAAGGUUAAUCUCUCACGGUAACUCCACUUGGGUAACUUUAGGAUGAUCCUCUUAGAUUUUGUGAUUUAAAGAGUGAUUAAGUUUAAUCUG